rnacentral:lncRNA from 12 species
UUUUUUUUUUUUUAAGAAAAGAAAGGAAUUUCUAAUACUCGCUUCUAAUUUUUCUUGCUAGCUUUUAAUUGCAAAUGCACAGUAUUUCGGCUCCAUUUGGAUCCAAUCGAUUUUUGACCACCGUCCAAGAAGCCUUACAGCCAUUGUUUCUAUGAGAAAAUGUAUAUUGAGUUCCAAAAGCUCGAAAGAAGUCUUGGAACGGUGCCCAGGGAAGAAGAUGGGCCCAGGUGGUAGGAACCACCAAUACUUGGGUCCCACGAAUACCUAG